rfam:Camelus ferus unplaced genomic scaffold scaffold916, whole genome shotgun sequence.
GAAGGUAUAGCUCAGUUGGUAGAGUGUUUGCUUAGCAUGCACAAAGUCCUGGGUUCAAUCUCCAGUACCUUCA